UACGUAGGUGACAAGCGUUGUCCGGAUUUACUGGGCGUAAAGAGCGCGCAGGCGGUCGUUCAAGUCGAGUGUGAAAGCCCCCGGCUCAACUGGGGAGGGUCACUCGAUACUGAUCGACUUGAAGGCAGGAGAGGGAAGCGGAAUUCCCGGUGUAGCGGUGAAAUGCGCAGAUAUCAGGAGGAACACCGGUGGCGAAGGCGGGUCUCUGGGCCGAUACUGACGCUGAGGAGCAAAAGCGUGGGGAGCGAACAGG
rnacentral:rRNA from 1 species